rnacentral:rRNA from 1 species
UGGGGAAUAUUGCACAAUGGGCGCAAGCCUGAUGCAGCCAUGCCGCGUGUAUGAAGAAGGCCUUCGGGUUGUAAAGUACUUUCAGCGGGGAGGAAGGGAGUAAAGUUAAUACCUUUGCUCAUUGACGUUACCCGCAGAAGAAGCACCGGCUAACUCCGUGCCAGCAGCCGCGGUAAUACGGAGGGUGCAAGCGUUAAUCGGAAUUACUGGGCGUAAAGCGCACGCAGGCGGUUUGUUAAGUCAGAUGUGAAAUCCCCGGGCUCAACCUGGGAACUGCAUCUGAUACUGGCAAGCUUGAGUCUCGUUGAGGGGGGUAGAAUUCCAGGUGUAGCGGUGAAAUGCGUAGAGAUCUGGAGGAAUACCGGUGGCGAAGGCGGCCCCCUGGACGAAGACUGACGCUCAGGUGCGAAAGCGUGGGGAGCAAACAGG